rnacentral:rRNA from 1 species
UGCAUGAACUAGCAUGCGAGUCAUUGUAGCAUACAAGGCAUACGGCUCAGUAACGCGUAGUCAACCUAACCUAUGGACGGGAAUAACCUCGGGAAACUGAGAAUAAUGCCCGAUAGAACACUAUACCUGGAAUGGUUUGUGUUCCAAAUGAUUUAUCGCCAUAGGAUGGGACUGCGGCCUAUCAGUUUGUUGGUGAGGUAAUGGCCCACCAAGACUAUUACAGGUACGGGCUCUGAGAGGAGUAGCCCGGAGAUGGGUACUGAGACACGGACCCAGGCCCUAUGGGGCGCAGCAGGCGAGAAAACUUUGCAAUGUGCGAAAGCACGACAAGGUUAAUCCGAGUGAUUUGUGCUAAACGAAUCUUUUGUUAGUCCUAGAAACACUAACGAAUAAGGGGUGGGCAAGUUCUGGUGUCAGCCGCCGCGGUAAAACCAGCACCUCAAGUGGUCAGGAUGAUUAUUGGGCCUAAAGCAUCCGUAGCCGGCUCUGUAAGUUUUCGGUUAAAUCUGUACGCAUAACGUACAGGCUGCCGGGAAUACUGCAGAGCUAGGGAGUGGGAGAGGUAGACGGUACUCGGUAGGAAGUGGUAAAAUGCUUUGAUCUAUCGAUGACCACCUGUGGCGAAAGGCGGUCUACCAGAACACGUCCGACGGUGAGGGAUGAAAGCUGGGGGAGCAAACCGGGAUUAGAUACCCGGUAGUCCCAGCUGUAACUAUGCAACCUCAGUGAAUGCAAUGCUGUGCCCAUUGCAGUGCUGCCAGGCAAAGCCGU